rnacentral:tRNA from 1 species
GUCCCCGUAGUGAAAUGGAAAUCACGGCAGGCUUCGAACCUGCAAGUGGGGGUUCGAUUCCCUCCGGGGACA